UACAGAGGGGGCAAGCGUUGUUCGGAAUUACUGGGCGUAAAGGGCGCGUAGGCGGCCAGCACAAGUCAGUUGUGAAAUCUCCGGGCUUAACUCGGAAAGGUCAACUGAUACUGUGCGGCUAGAGUGCAGAAGGGGCAACUGGAAUUCUCGGUGUAGCGGUGAAAUGCGUAGAUAUCGUAAGGAAGACCAGUGGCGAAGGCGGGUCUCUGGACAGUUCCUGACGCUGAGGCACGAAGGUCAGGGGAGCAAACGGG
rnacentral:rRNA from 1 species